rnacentral:lncRNA from 1 species
GGCCAAGCAGACCAGCAGCACAAGAGCAAGGCCAAAGGAAGGUAUGCCUAAUAUUUUGCUGCAUUUCUUGUUGGAGAAAUGGAGUGUCUGCAUGGUUUUCUGGUGAAACUAGCAUGUAAGCAAGAGCUUGAGCUGUGCCCUGACUGGAUGCAUCAAUGGUGGUCUAGUCAUGAAAGCGUGUGAUGGGGAAGGAGAGAAGCAGAUUUUGCUCUCAUUUUGUUUUGUCCACUUGUAGUCGUAGUCACCAUGAAGGAAAUCAAGGUCAUAAAAAUUGGAUUUUACACAACUGCCACCAGCUCACCAGCAGCUUCCUGGUUCACACUGGCGUUUCCCUGUUCCACCAUUGGCUGCCUGCUGUAAUCUACUGACAAAGUCAAUUGCCCAAUUGUCCUGAAUAGUCGACCGUACAAAUAAAAUCUGCUUUGUAGACUGUGUAGUCGUCCAUGACUUUAGGAUCCUUACUUAAUUGUAUCAAUCAACAUGCCUUAAUUUACUAGACCUGACAUCACUACUCUUACCGGCUUCACUAAACAAAUCCAACUUCUUCCCACUAGCACUUGACCAGAAAAAAUACCUCUUGACGUAUCCUUUGCCUUUUUUUGAACAGGAGAAGGAGAAGAUGUGUUUAAAGGGCAGUCUGGUGGACGGAGCUCCCGCUUGCGCAGCGUUCGGGGAAGGGCCCGACAACUUUGGGCCUAUUGUACACAGCCUUUUCCUACAUUUCUGUAAGAGACUGUUUCGGAACAACCCGUGACCUCAUGGUCACAACUCACAAGGCAACAGCUUUACCACUGCGCCAAGGCUCCCCUUCAGAAGAUGUGUUUUUGAAAGGAAAAUAAAAACAGUUGGGUAACGACUUGCAGAAUAUUCUGAAAGGUGCUUGCGAUGGAGAGCAAGCAUCGGUGUCUCAGUCCGUAUGUGGACAAACCCAGGCAAGAAGAAGUGCAAUAUUGUUGCUUGAUGGACAAGGUGGAUGGUUGACUUACUGUUGCUGGGUGAUCUGUCCUCUCUUCCAUCCUCUUGAUUUACUAACCCUCAUCACGCGAGCUUCAUCUGAUGCUUACCUUUGCCUUUUGAUUCUCCUGCUCCACUGGCGCACUAUUAUAUUGUGAACCAUGGACUGUGACGCUUUGUGGCUAUCAACUGAAUUUGGAAGGGGUUCAAACUUUAAAGUAAUCUGGGUAACGUGUGAGGGCUGGCUGGCAGGCUAGUUGAUCACUUGGCUCUGAUGAUGCUCGUGUGGUCAUGGUCUUUUGAGACAGAACCAUGUAUUAAUCUCUACUGCUUUAUUAUCUUAAAAAUUAUCUGAGUUGGUAGCGGUCCGUUCACCCUCAUCGAGAUUAUCUAUUGAGUUAUUAACAUUACCAGAUGCCAACUGCUAUGUGGACAUAAUAUUGAUUCAACUGUUGUAUACAUUGAGAUAAUUAUUAAAUUUUGCAUAAAGUUAUGGAUUAUGAUAACACAAGCCUUAAAUGGCAGAUGCAAUAUAGAGAGAGAACAAACAAAUUUUGUAGCAAUAGAUAAG